GAUGAACGCUGGCGGCGUGCCUAAUACAUGCAAGUCGAGCGAAUGGAUUAAGAGCUUGCUCUUAUGAAGUUAGCGGCGGACGGGUGAGUAACACGUGGGUAACCUGCCCAUAAGACUGGGAUAACUCCGGGAAACCGGGGCUAAUACCGGAUAACAUUUUGAGCCGCAUGGUUCGAAAUUGAAAGGCGGCUUCGGCUGGCACUUAUGGAUGGAUCCGCGUCGCAUUAGCUAGUUGGUGAGGUAACGGCUCACCAAGGCGACGAUGCGUAGCCGACCUGAGAGGGUGAUCGGCCACACUGGGACUGAGACACGGCCCAGACUCCUACGGGAGGCAGCAGUAGGGAAUCUUCCGCAAUGGACGAAAGUCUGACGGAGCAACGCCGCGUGAGUGAUGAAGGCUUUCGGGUCGUAAAACUCUGUUGUUAGGGAAGAACAAGUGCUAGUUGAAUAAGCUGGCACCUUGACGGUACCUAACCAGAAAGCCACGGCUAACUACGUGCCAGCCGCCGCGGUAA
rnacentral:rRNA from 1 species